rnacentral:lncRNA from 1 species
AGGCUGGUCUCAAAUUCCUGACUUCCAGUGAUGUGCCCACCUCGGCCUCCCAAACUGCUGGGAUCCACUUUGCUCUGCCUCAGGGACCUGCAGCCAAGUUCGUUACGGACCAGCUUGCUGAGUUGUCUUGAAAAGCGGGCUUACAGGUGUUCUAAGCCCAUGUUUUAUCCUGAAGUUCCCCUCGACAAGAAAAACGAAUUCAUAGCACAAAGUACACCAGUUUAAGACUAGCCUUAGAAUUCUUUUUUGCAUUAAUCCAAACAGAAGAGAUUUGUUUUACCAUUCCUUCAAUCGUUCCCACAGAGAGAAGUCAGAAAUCUGACUGCGUAUGUCAAGCCUCUGAGCCCAAGCCGGCCUGUAUACAUCCAGAUAGCCUGAAGCAACUGAAGAAUCACAAAAGAAGUGAAAAUGGCCGGUUCCUGAC